rnacentral:rRNA from 1 species
CCUACGGGUGGCAGCAGUGAGGAAUAUUGGUCAAUGGGCGCGAGCCUGAACCAGCCAAGUAGCGUGAAGGAUGACUGUCCUACGGGUUGUAAACUUCUUUUAUAAAGGAAUAAAGUGAGGCACGUGUGCCCUUUUGUAUGUACUUUAUGAAUAAGGAUCGGCUAACUCCGUGCCAGCAGCCGCGGUAAUACGGAGGAUCCGAGCGUUAUCCGGAUUUAUUGGGGUUAAAGGGAGCGUAGGUGGGUUGUUAAGUCAGGUGUGAAAGUUUGCGGCUCAACCGUAAAAUUGCAAUUGAUACUGGCAGUCUUGAGUACGGUAGAGGUAGGCGGAAUUCGUGGUGUAGCGGUGAAAUGCUUAGAUAUCGCGAAGAACUCCGAUUGCGAAGGCAGCUUACUGAACUGCAACUGACGUUGAGGCACGAAAGUGUGGGUAUCGAACAGGAUUAGAUACCCGGGUAGUC